rnacentral:rRNA from 1 species
GAUCAUGGCUCAGGAUGAACGCUAGCUACAGGCUUAACACAUGCAAGUCGAGGGGCAGCAUUGGAGUAGCAAUACUUCAGAUGGCGACCGGCGCACGGGUGAGUAACACGUAUCCAACCUGCCGCUUACUCGGGGAUAGCCUUUCGAAAGAAAGAUUAAUACCCGAUGGUAUAAAGAGUUCGCAUGUUCUCUUUAUUAAAGAAUUUCGGUAAGCGAUGGGGAUGCGUUCCAUUAGAUAGUUGGCGGGGUAACGGCCCACCAAGUCUACGAUGGAUAGGGGUUCUGAGAGGAAGGUCCCCCACAUUGGAACUGAGACACGGUCCAAACUCCUACGGGAGGCAGCAGUGAGGAAUAUUGGUCAAUGGACGAGAGUCUGAACCAGCCAAAGUAGCGUGAAGGAUGACUGCCCUAUGGGUUGUAAACUUCUUUUAUAAGGGAAUAAAGUGAGGGACGUGUCCCUUUUUGUAUGUACCUUAUGAAUAAGGAUCGGCUAACUCCGUGCCAGCCGCGGC